CAGGGCCGAACGGAGUCGUACUUCGCGCGCCCGAAAAAACAAGUUCGCGAGCGCCACCUCGUGGCGCUGAGCGAAAGCUGUUAAGGGCCCUUAGUGCCUAUCCUUUAGUUAGGCGAGGUAUAGGUUUGAGUGCAACGAUUGGCUUCUGGGCUGAAACUUCGACGUAAUUGGCCAAGGGGACUGGGAUGAUCGACUUCGCAUCCGUCGACAAGCAUUUUUAUAGCCAUUCAGCCGUGGAUACGGCCGAAACUAAGCGUAAACGUGAAGAGGGGCGUGUGCAUCAGUGAGCCUGCAGAUGUUUGUUUACAUCGUUCAUUCGCCCCGAUUUCGGCUCGGCAAGACCGUUAACGAGUCGAUUUCGGCGCCGAAAACGUCGGCAAUUAAGUGCCGACGUUUUACCGACAGGGUACGGCGUUUGGUGUCGGCGUUAUCUCCUGCAAGUCCGUGGUCGCUGAUUUCUUUCGCCGGGAUGAAGCUUCAUCGGGAAUUUACGUUUACGGAGGACAUCAACUACGGACAGGGGCAGCAGGACAAAACUGAUCAAGCUGGAGGACAGAGGAGUGCCGUCCAAGCUGCAGCCUCAGGUGCAGCAGCUGAUGAAGAAGACUCAGGCCAUGAAGAAGGAGACUCUCCUCGAGUUUGAGCUCGUCCUGGAAAGAAUGUCGCUCGGCAAGCUGACCCAGAAGCAGGCUGCAAGCGGCCAACUAGGAGCUGUCCAAACUGCAGGAAUCCGCGCACGGAGACAAGCAAAUAGCCAAACCGACAUGAUCACCAGCAGCAACACAUUUUGCACCGUGAUCCCCCACAGCGUUGGACUUCCAAGUCUCAACUAAGGAGCUCUGUGCGAUUCGUGGUCGUGCCCUCUUGAUAAUAGUGCGAUAUAAAUUUGACAGCCAUGCCUUAUUAUAAGAUUGUAAUUUUUAUAAAUAUUAUAGUGUUGGUCUGAGAAAUUUAA